rnacentral:rRNA from 1 species
CAGUAAGGAAUAUUGGUCAAUGGACGGAAGUCUGAACCAGCCAUGCCGCGUGGAGGAUGAAGGCCCUCUGGGUUGUAAACUUCUUUUAUCUGGGACGAAACACUUCCUUUCUAGGGAGCUUGACGGUACCAGGUGAAUAAGCACCGGCUAACUCCGUGCCAGCAGCCGCGGUAAUACGGAGGGUGCAAGCGUUAUCCGGAUUCACUGGGUUUAAAGGGUGCGUAGGCGGACACUUAAGUCCGUGGUGAAAUCUCUGGGCUUAACCCAGAAACUGCCAUGGAUACUAUUUGUCUUGAAUGUUGUGGAGGUUAGCGGAAUAUGUCAUGUAGCGGUGAAAUGCAUAGAUAUGACAUAGAACACCAAUUGCGAAGGCAGCUGGCUACACAAAUAUUGACGCUGAGGCACGAAAGCGUGGGGAUCAAACAGGAUUAGA